rnacentral:lncRNA from 1 species
UCCUGGCCAGGCUGGGGCUGUUCUCACCAGAAAACAAAAAUGUCUUUCAGACCAAAGCAAAACGAGGCCCCAGCUGGCCCAGGCAGGCCAUUGGGCGUUGUUCACACUGACCCACUAUGAACACCAAUCACUGGGGCUCUCACUUUGCACCCACUGGAAGGAACCCAUCAUCUUUGGAGACGGAACUGGAGGCCUCGGUGGCUGCUGAGGAAAGCACUACGCCCCAAGAUUCACAUGAAUUAGGAGCUACACAAAGGAAGUAGGCCCAGGAAUAACCACACCUACCACGGAUCUCCCGAGGCAGCCGAGCAAAUGAUGAGGAACCACCCCUGGGCAUCCUGAAGGACAACCCCAAGGGCUCAAAGCAGCAUCUCAUCCACAGCACUCCCCUAACCCCACCAAUCUGUGGACCCAGUGGAUGGUUAGUGGGAACUCUGGCGAGGCCAACGCAAGGAAUGGGAGCAUCACACCAGACCAUCCAGUGAGGUGAGGACCUUGACUGGGAAUUCCUCUCAUCUAUGCUUGGCAGAGUGGCCCAAGCUCCCAAUCUGUCAGGUGACUGGAACCUUGGAGCUCUAAGGAAGCAGCAGCCCUCAGAGAAGACUCUCUUCCACAAAACUGGUCACCCAGAAGCUGUGGGUUCACUAGUUGAUUCAUUCAUUCAUUCAACAAACACUUCUGGAGCACCUCCUUCUAUUCCAGGCUGCACUGGUUCUCAGCACACAGGGUUCUCCAGUGAAGGGUAACCUGGCCCUGCCUGCAAGGAGUUUACACCUGCUUUUCCCUACUGCUUCUAACAUAUUGGCAUCAUCCCCCACCUGGGCACAGAGCCUAGCAUCCUAGCAGGAGCACACUCAAAAUCUGUUGUUUACUGAUUGACUUGUGGUAAGGAAACAGCUUAUAAAACACAUUAUUAAAAUAAA